rnacentral:sRNA from 1 species
GAAUAGCCCCGAUAGAAACGGCAUCCUUUUUGUGUCCGUCACGACGGACAGGAAAAGAUAUAGUGCAGAGCGGGACAGGAG